AGGACGAACGCUGGCGGCGUGCCUAACACAUGCAAGUCGAACGGGGAUUUGUUUCGGCAGAAUCCUAGUGGCGAACGGGUGAGUAACGCGUAGGCAACCUGCCCUCCGGCCGGGGACAACACUCCGAAAGGGGUGCUAAUACCGGAUACGAAGUCUGUGCCGCAUGGUACGGAUUUGAAAGAUGGCCUCUGUUUACAAGCUAUCGCCGGGGGAUGGGCCUGCGUCCGAUUAGCUGGUUGGUGGGGUAACGGCCUACCAAGGCGACGAUCGGUAGCCGGUCUGAGAGGAUGAACGGCCACAUUGGGACUGAGACACGGCCCAGACUCCUACGGGAGGCAGCAGUGGGGAAUCUUCCGCAAUGGGCGCAAGCCUGACGGAGCAACGCCGCCGUGAGUGAGGAAGUUCUUCGGAACGUAAAGCUCUGUUGUUCCUGACGAACCUCCCUUCUAUCAACAACGGAAGGGACUGACGGUAGGGAACGAGGAAGCCACGGCUAACUACGUGCCAGCAGCCGC
rnacentral:rRNA from 1 species